rnacentral:rRNA from 1 species
CUACGGGGUGCAGCAGUCGCGGAACUUUUACAAUGCACGCAAGUGUGAUAAAGCGAACCAAAGUGCUAUUCUUUUUGAAUAGCUUUUUUCCAACGUAAAAACUUGGAAGAAUAAGGACUGGGAAAGACUGGUGCCAGCCGCCGCGGUAAUACCAGCAGUUCAAGUUGCAUCCAGUUUUAUUGGGUCUAAAACAUCCGUAGCUUGCCGUUUAAGUCUCUUGUGAAAUCCUACGUCUCAAGCGUGGUGAAGUGCAGGAGAUACUGGGCGGCUAGAGAUCGGUAGACGUAAGCAGUACGGGACGGGUAACGGUCAAAUGUGUUAAUCCGUCUUGGACUAACAAUCAGCGAAGGCAACUUACGAGGACGAAUCUGACAGUGAGGGAUGAAGGCCAGGGGCGCAAAACGGAUUAGAUACCCGCGUAGUC